CUGGGGAUAAAACUCAGUUGGUAUAGUACUUGCUUUACAUGCACAAGGCUCUGGGUUCAAUCCCCAGCACCAGG
rnacentral:tRNA from 1 species